rnacentral:rRNA from 1 species
AUUGAACGCUGGCGGCAGGCCUAACACAUGCAAGUCGAACGGUAACAGGAAGAAGCUUGCUUCUUUGCUGACGAGUGGCGGACGGGUGAGUAAUGUCUGGGAAACUGCCUGAUGGAGGGGGAUAACUACUGGAAACGGUAGCUAAUACCGCAUAACGUCGCAAGACCAAAGAGGGGGACCUUCGGGCCUCUUGCCAUCGGAUGUGCCCAGAUGGGAUUAGCUAGUAGGUGGGGUAACGGCUCACCUAGGCGACGAUCCCUAGCUGGUCUGAGAGGAUGACCAGCCACACUGGAACUGAGACACGGUCCAGACUCCUACGGGAGGCAGCAGUGGGGAAUAUUGCACAAUGGGCGCAAGCCUGAUGCAGCCAUGCCGCGUGUAUGAAGAAGGCCUUCGGGUUGUAAAGUACUUUCAGCGGGGAGGAAGGGAGUAAAGUUAAUACCUUUGCUCAUUGACGUUACCCGCAGAAGCACCGGCUAACUCCGUG